rnacentral:rRNA from 1 species
UACGAAGGGGGCUAGCGUUGUUCGGAAUCACUGGGCGUAAAGUGCACGCAGGCGGAUCGUUAAGUCAGGGGUGAAAUGCCGAGGCUCAACCUCGGAACUGCCUUUGAUACUGGCGAUCUUAGAGUCCGGGAGAGGCGAGUGGAACUCCGAGUGUAGAGGUGAAAUUCGUAGAUAUUCGGAAGAACACCAGUGGCGAAGGCGACUCACUGGCCCGUUACUGACGCUGAGGCGCGAAAGCGUGGGGAGCAAACAGG